rnacentral:rRNA from 1 species
UACGAAGGGUGCAAGCGUUGCUCGGAAUUAUUGGGCGUAAAGGGUAGGUAGGUGGUGAUAUUUGUCUGGGGUGAAAUCCCUGAGCUUAACUCAGGAAGUGCCUUGGAAACGGUAUCACUAGAGUGCUGGAGAGGUUCGCAGAAUUCUUGGUGUAGCGGUGAAAUGCGUAGAGAUCAGGAGGAAUACCAGAGGCGAAGGCGGCGAACUGGACAGUUACUGACACUAAACUACGAAAGCGUGGGGAGCAAACAGG